GAUAGAUUCUAGAUAGUGAAAAUUAGGUUCUCUGACUCGUUGGUCAACUUAGUUCAUUAAAAUAAGCCAUUUUGGAUUUUGAACUUGUAUUUCUAUCGCACAACUGAUGCUUUUUGAAAAGGGAUUUUUAGCCUGGGUAACCCCACAUUGCAGUUGUCAUUAUUAUUUAAUUCAUGAGAAAAGAAAACAUUCUAAUUCCUUGACCAAUUCCAAGCCUCUUUGGAUAUUACUUUCUUAUUUUAUUCAUUGAUGUACAUAACAUUGUCAGAGGCUCUGAAUAUGCUGUCUUGCAUUAUAGUUAUCAUGUUUCUUGUGUAUGUUCAACUCGUAUUGAAAUGUGUCUUGGCUUUUGAAAUCAUAAAAUCAU
rnacentral:misc_RNA from 1 species